AGAAGCAGUUGGACAAAGUAAUCGUCAGGAUGACCCAAAAUUGAACUCUCUAUCCCGCCUGAUGCUUUUGUAAUGGCUAACUUUUUCUUCACCAGGCUUAAUGGACUGUUCCUGCGAUGGGUUUGGAUUAUUUAGUUGUUCUUCUGCUUUGGCCUCCAUUGUGAAUUGUGAGGAAUGGGCAGCGUCAAAAAUUUUCCGGGAAUCCAAAAAUAAAAGUUAAUAUAAUGUGAGCCUCACAGACAAUAGAUU